GACGAAGGGGGCAAGCGUUGUUCGGAAUUACUGGGCGUAAAGGGCGCGUAGGCGGCUCUGUAAGUCAGGCGUGAAAGCCCUGGGCUCAACCUGGGAGUGGCGCUUGAUACUGUGGGGCUAGAGAGCGGGAGAGGAUGGUGGAAUUCCCAGUGUAGAGGUGAAAUUCGUAGAUAUUGGGAAGAACACCGGUGGCGAAGGCGGCAUCUGGACC
rnacentral:rRNA from 1 species